rnacentral:rRNA from 1 species
UGGGGAAUAUUGCGCAAUGGGCGAAAGCCUGACGCAGCGACGCCGCGUGGGUGAUGAAGGCCUUCGGGUCGUAAAGCCCUGUCGGGUGGAACGAAUUCCUGCCUUGCCAAUACCGAGGCAGAUUGACGGUACCACCGAAGGAAGCCCCGGCUAACUACGUGCCAGCAGCCGCGGUAAUACGUAGGGGGCGAGCGUUGUUCGGAUUUACUGGGCGUAAAGAGCGCGUAGGUGGUUCGAUAAGUCGGAGGUGAAAGCCCUCGGCUCAACCGAGGAUCCGCGUCCGAUACUGUUGGACUUGAGUGCGGGAGAGGAGAGCGGAAUUCCCAGUGUAGCGGUGAAAUGCGUAGAUACUGGGAGGAACACCGGUGGCGAAGGCGGCUCUCUGGACCGUUACUGACACUGAGGCGCGAAAGCUAGGGGAGCAAACG